rnacentral:rRNA from 1 species
AUUGAACGCUGGCGGCAGGCCUAACACAUGCAAGUCGAGCGGAAGAAGAGAGCCUGCUCCUGGAUUCAGCGGCGGACGGGCGAGUAAUGCCUAGGAAUCUGCCUGGUAGUGGGGGAUAACGUCCGGAAACGGGCGCUAAUACCGCAUACGUCCUGAGGGAGUACGUGGGGGAUCUUCGGACCUCCCGCUCUCGCAUGAGCCUAGGUCGGAUUAGCUAGUUGGUGGGGUAAAGGCCUACCAAGGCGACGAUCCGUAACUGGUCUGAGAGGAUGAUCAGUCACACUGGAACUGAGACACGGUCCAGACUCCUACGGGAGGCAGCAGUGGGGAAUAUUGGACAAAGGGCGAAAGCCUGAUCCAGCCAUGCCGCGUGUGUGAAGAAGGUCUUCGGAUUGUAAAGCACUUUUAGUUGGGAGGAAGGGCAGUAAGUUAAUACCUUGCUGUUUUGACGUUACCAAAAGAAUAAGCACCGGCUAACUUCGUG